UACGUAGGGAGCAAGCGUUGUCCGGAAUCAUUGGGCGUAAAGCGCGCGUAGGUGGCUUCGUAAGUCCGUUGUGAAAGUCAAAGGCUCAACCUUUGAAAGCCGAUGGAUACUGCGGAGCUAGAGUACGGAAGAGGCGAGUGGAAUCCUGGUGGUAGCGGUGAAAUGCGCAGAUAUCAAGGAAGAACACCCGUGGCGAAGGCGGCGCUCUGGGACGGUACUCGACGGCUGAGACGCGAAAGCGUGGGGAGCGAACA
rnacentral:rRNA from 1 species